UGGGGAAUAUUGGACAAUGGGGGAAACCCUGAUCCAGCCAUGCCGCGUGUGUGAAGAAGGCCUUUUGGUUGUAAAGCACUUUAAGCAGUGAAGAAGACUCCAUGGUUAAUACCCAUGGACGAUGACAUUAGCUGCAGAAUAAGCACCGGC
rnacentral:rRNA from 1 species